UGGAACCUAGGGGGGCAGCAGUGAGGAAUAUUGGUCAAUGGCCGAGAGGCUGAACCAGCCAAGUCGCGUGAGGGAAGACGGCCCUACGGGUUGUAAACCUCUUUUGUCGGGGAGCAAAGAGAGUCACGUGUGACUCAUUGAGAGUACCCGAAGAAAAAGCAUCGGCUAACUCCGUGCCAGCAGCCGCGGUAAUACGGAGGAUGCGAGCGUUAUCCGGAUUUAUUGGGUUUAAAGGGUGCGCAGGCGGAGGUGCAAGUCAGCGGUCAAAUUGCGGGGCUCAACCCCGGCCCGCCGUUGAAACUGGC
rnacentral:rRNA from 1 species